rnacentral:rRNA from 1 species
AGUGAACGCUGGCGGUAGGCCUAACACAUGCAAGUCGAACCGCAGCACAGUAAGAGCUUGCUCUUACGGGUGGCGAGUGGCGGACGGGUGAGGAAUACAUUGGAAUCUACUUUUUCGUGGGGGAUAACGUAGGGAAACUUACGCUAAUACCGCAUACGACCUACGGGUGAAAGCAGGGGAUCUUCGGACCUUGCGCGAUUGAAUGAGCCGAUGUCGGAUUAGCUAGUUGGCGGGGUAAAGGCCCACCAAGGCGACGAUCCGUAGCUGGUCUGAGAGGAUGAUCAGCCACACUGGAACUGAGACACGGUCCAGACUCCUACGGGAGGCAGCAGUGGGGAAUAUUGGACAAUGGGCGCAAGCCUGAUCCAGCCAUACCGCGUGGGUGAAGAAGGCCUUCGGGUUGUAAAGCCCUUUUGUUGGGAAAGAAAAGCAGCAGGUUAAUACCCCGCUGUUCUGACGGUACCCAAAGAAUAAGCACCGGCUAACUUCGUG